GACGAACGCUGGCGGCGUGCCUAAUACAUGCAAGUCGAACGCACUCUCGUUUAGAUUGAAGGAGCUUGCUCCUGAUUGAUAAACAUUUGAGUGAGUGGCGGACGGGUGAGUAACACGUGGGUAACCUGCCCUAAAGUGGGGGAUAACAUUUGGAAACAGAUGCUAAUACCGCAUAAAACCUAAACACCGCAUGGUGUAGGGUUGAAAGAUGGUUUCGGCUAUCACUUUAGGAUGGACCCGCGGUGCAUUAGUUAGUUGGUGAGGUAAAGGCUCACCAAGACCGUGAUGCAUAGCCGACCUGAGAGGGUAAUCGGCCACACUGGGACUGAGACACGGCCCAGACUCCUACGGGAGGCAGCAGUAGGGAAUCUUCCACAAUGGACGAAAGUCUGAUGGAGCAACGCCGCGUGAGUGAAGAAGGUUUUCGAAUCGUAAAACUACUGUGUUGGAGAAGAAUGUAUCUGAUAGUAACUGAUCAGGUAGUGACGGUAUCCUAACCAGAAAGCCAA
rnacentral:rRNA from 1 species